UUCUUACUCCUAAUGAAACCCUAGCCGCCAUUAGCCCUCACCAACAGCAGCUGAAACCCCCCCCCCUUUUGAACAACCAAAAUACGCACCCAUCAGAAAAGAAAAAAGAGACAGAAAGGGGAAGAAGGAAGGGGACUGAGGGAGGAAGGAGAGGGGGGAGAAGAGUGAGGCGGCAUGGUGGGUGUCACUGCCACCGUCGCCGCCGCUGCUAACAGAGGAGAGAGGAGAUCUGAGAGAGAAGGAGAGUGUCGCGAGGGAGCCGCCGCGUCGCGUUGCCGUUUGCGCCAGCGCCGAGGAGGACCGCGCGAGAAAGAGGCGCCACCGUCGCUGUCUUCAUCGCGUAUGGAGUUGCCGUUGCCGACAAGCCCAACCACUGCCUAGUUGUGUCGCCGCCAUGAAGACCUCGCCAACAUCUUCCCCUUCGCAGAUCGUCGUCGUCUUUGGAGCAGAGAGCGAAAGAGAUCUUACGGUGGAGGAAACAGGGAGGCGCCGCCGUGCAGCGAGAAGCUACCGCCGCUGUUGCGCGCUCUGUCACCGCUACUGCUGGGGCUGUGCCGUCGCGACCGAGCUUCUGCCACUCAAAAACCACCGCCACUGCGACCAGAAACCACCACUGAGGCCUAAGUAAGUUUGUCACCACUGCUGCAGGACCAUCAGAGCUUCCGGCCGUUAUUAGAGCUGCUGUCCGGUCAAUUUAGAAGCUGCUACUGUGUCGUUCUAUUCUGUUUAUCAUGAUAUGUGGUUGUUGCUGUGAUCCCUACGGUUGAUUGGGAAUUUCUGCAGUUGAUGCCGAUUAACAUGAGAAUAAGGAUUUAAUGGGUUUAAUUAUGCAACUUGCGACUAAUUGAGAUACUGAUUAAGGAGGAGAUUUGGAUUAUCACACAUUCAUUAUAGGAUUUUGUGUCUAUUUUGGCACCAACCUAAUCUCUUGGAGAAGUGUUAAGCAAACCAAGGUUAGUCGUCACAGCACAGAGGCGAAGUAUAGAGCCAUUGCAGUAGCUCAAUCUGAGAUAAAUACCAUUCUAGAAAUUAUUGUCUGAGCUAAAAAUACCUCAACCUAUACCCCCUACUAUUUAUUGUGAUAACCAAAGUACAUGCUUAUUAUUUGUCAAUCCAGUUUUUCAUAGUAGAUAUAACCAUUUAGAGUUAGACUUGCAUUUCAUACGAGAUUUAGUAAAUAACAAACAACUUUUUGUGGUACAUAUUCCCUCGCAAGAUUAGAUAGCUGAUACGCUUACCAAGCCUCUAUCAGUUCCGAGUUUUUGUAAAUAUAGAGACAAAUUGAAAGUGCCUCACAACCCACACCUUAGUUUGAGGGGGUAUUGGUAGUAUAGCUAAGUCUUUAUAAAAGGAGAGUGUAUUAACUAAACUAAGUCUAUUGGACUAGUAUAUUAUAUUGGUGUAAGGUCCAAUGCUGUAUUAUGGUGAAUGUAUAUACUUUGUCCUUUGUCUA